UACUAUAAUAUUAUGGCAACUGCAAAUAACACCAAAGGGAAAGUGACAGUGACAGAUUACCCCGAACAUGAUUUCUUUACUGUGACAAUGAGAAACAUGCAGCCAUCAGACAAUACCCAUUACUGGUGUGCUAUGGCUUUGACUGACACGUCACCCUAUGAUGAACUGAAGGAGCUUUCAAUAAAAUAUCAGUCUGAUCCUGAUCUGUCUGUGGGGAGAAGUGUAGUAUUUGGUGAGGUAGGGGGCAAUGUGAGUGUCAAGUGUCGCUAUAGUAACACGUACAGUAGCCAAAAGAAGAGUUGGUGCAGUUUCAAAGACCCAAAGUGUUCAUCAGUGGGGGGGGUCAGUAGCACCUGCUGCCACAAAGUCCCAGAUGAGGGAUGAUGGGGCUGGAACUCUGAGUGUUGAGAUGGUGGGGGUGAAGGAGACAGACACAGGCUGGUACUGGUGUGAGGUGGGAGAUCUGCAGAUACCCGUUUACCUGAACAUCACACAACACGCUGCAAAUGACAAUAAUAUAUUGCAUAUAUCCAAUAUUGUUCGUAUGGGGAUAGCUGGUUUCCUGUUGCUACUUGCAGUGUUUGGUAUGGUAACCCGUGGCCUUUGCAAGGCUCACAGGUUAAAAAGGUCACCAAGAGAGGAAAAGAGUCAAACCGAAACCACAACAUCUACAGCUCUGUAGCAAGAAGGCAAUGACAGAAACUCUAUCCCCAGCAGAAGGCGCACUGUCAUACCAAAGACGAACGAGACACAGAGAAGAUCCCAAAGAUUUAACCCUGAACUGACCUUGUUACUUUGUAAUUACACCAUGAAGUUGACUAGGCUGUAUAGUACAGAGUAUUGAUGUGCCGCUUUACACUGAUAAUUUGGGUAUUACCUUCUAGUUAACUGUAUGAUUAAUAUAUAAUAAGUACAUUCAUUGUAGUUGCUAUGCUCUUAUAAAAUAAGACAUCAGUCUUCAGUCAAAGACUUUCUGAUGAGCAUAGUCUUGCAUAGUGUGUAAAUACGGUAUGUAAUUCAUUGUAGUUGCUAUGCCCUUAUAAAAUAAGACAUAACAGUUCAGACUUUCUGAUGAGCAGAAAAGACUGAAAUAUAAAUUUCAUUGCCUUUUAUAGUGUGUAAAUACGGUAUGUAAUGUAUGGAAGAAUAGUUAUAUAACAGGUGUAUAACAGUUGUAGCUAAUCCUGGAAAAUAUGAAUGGUAGGGUUCAGAGCUCAGUGUCAACCAGCUCUGUCAGAACAGUAGGUAUCUACCAGGCCCAUGAAAUUGGCUACAGAUUGUCAAAUGUAUCAAUUUAUCUUGUAUAUAAUUAAUCAAACAUUAACAUAUUCCACCAAGAGGAGACUUUUUUUCCAUUCUGAAUGAAAUCACUCACAUUGAAAUAUUCCUUUCCCUGUUUUCCCUGU
ensembl:lncRNA